UACGUAGGGCGCAAGCGUUAUCCGGAAUUAUUGGGCGUAAAGAGCUCGUAGGCGGUUUGUCGCGUCUGCCGUGAAAGUCCGGGGCUCAACCCCGGAUCUGCGGUGGGUACGGGCAGACUAGAGUGAUGUAGGGGAGGCUGGAAUUCCUGGUGUAGCGGUGGAAUGCGCAGAUAUCAGGAGGAACACCGAUGGCGAAGGCAGGUCUCUGGGCAUUAACUGACGCUGAGGCGCGAAAGCGUGGGGAGCAAACAGG
rnacentral:rRNA from 1 species